GGCCAUAACUCAUAUAGAAUUGCACCCCCUUUCUUCUUCAAGCAAUUUUCUGAAUCUCUACCUCCCUUCACCACAAAGCUGCGCUGCUACUUCUUCAUAGGAGGGACGUGGCUGCACGCUCGGCCACCCCUGCCACGCGCCGCUCAUCUCUCCGCAGCGGUGUUCGAUCCACCACCUCCGAUCAAUUCAUUGGUGAAACAGCGGCUUCGACUCAUACUCUGUCUUCUUCAAUUCGUUACUUCAGAGAUAAUGGUAGCAUCUUUGAUUUUGGGUUCGCUCGAUUGGGAUGGAGGAAAAGUGGGAUGAUCAUUUAUUCUUUUGGUAUGGGAGGUAUUGGAAAAGGCAUUGGGCUUUGGACCGCAUUCUAUGACUACAACAAGCAUUCCGUUUCAGCUCGGGCAAAAGGAGACUAUUGCAAGCCUUUUGGAUCAUGCGGAGUUUCCCGAGCACUUGAUGAUGGAGCAACCGAAAGACGGAAUGUAAUCUAGAAAUUCUUGGGUCGAUCCGACGGUAUAUGACCUUCCAUGAGCUAUUUCAUCUUCGUACAUAACUGCUGUAACAACGUGAGCAACACGGAGCCGUCAAAAGAGAUCACUGCCGAGAGGAAGUUCUCUGCCAACCGGGCAAAGAGACUGCCGAGAGGAAGUUCUCUGCCAACCGGGCAAAGAGUUUUCCUAUAAGGAACCCUGUCUUGCGCAUCCUUCAGAAGGCAUGCGUUUGCUACCCAUUCGCCCGUGUGGAGCAUGGUAGCGUUAUUAGAGACGAGCUAUUCCUGUUGUGGCAGAUCUUGUACAGACAACCAACUUUGAACUUGGGUCACUUCAUGAUCAAGCAUCUUGAGCGUGCUGCGAAGAAGAAGAGGACCUUGUGUGUUAGUGCGGUGGUAGCUGCCAUAGCCCUCCAUCUGGGGUGCAACUUGAGACAAAAGGCUGGAGAUCACUUUCCACUCCCCAACUCCACCACCACUUAUGUCCACGGGCCGUAGCAGAGGGAGAAUUGGUUGAUGAACAGUUCGGCCCACCGCCAAAUCACACCAAGGAACCAGGCCGGGCGUUUUGCUGCAGCAAACCAGGCAUUUCAACGGCGCCAAAAACUUGACUCGAAUUAUUUUUAACACGAGAAAUACCCGCAAGUGUACGGAGCUAGUGUAGUUGACAUACUUGGACGCUAACGGUGAA